UAGGGAAUCUUCGGCAAUGGGGGGAACCCUGACCGAGCAACGCCGCGUGAGUGAAGAAGGUUUUCGGAUCGUAAAGCUCUGUUGUUAAGGAAGAACGAGUGUGAGAAUGGAAAGUUCAUGCUGUGACGGUACUUAACCAGAAAGGGACGGCUAACUACGUGCCAGCAGCCGCGGUAAUACGUAGGUCCCGAGCGUUGUCCGGAUUUAUUGGGCGUAAAGCGAGCGCAGGCGGUUAGAAAAGUCUGAAGUGAAAGGCAGUGGCUCAACCAUUGUAGGCUUUGGAAACUGUUUAACUUGAGUGCAGAAGGGGAGAGUGGAAUUCCAUGUGUAACGGUGAAAUGCGUAGAUAUAUGGAGGAACACCGGUGGCGAAAGCGGCUCUCUGGUCUGUAACGGACGCUGAGGCUCGAAAGCGUGGGGAGCGAACAGG
rnacentral:rRNA from 1 species